rnacentral:lncRNA from 1 species
UCCCUGGAUUCAAGGUCUCAGAACGCAGCAGUUCUGAAUCCACCUGUCUGCAAUAUCCCCGGCCGCCAAAGCUAGACCCCUUCCUCUUAGGUCUCCGGCUCAAAAGGUCGUGUUCAGUACAAGGAUUCCAACAAAUCCGGGCCUCAACCGUGAUCUCCGGUUUUGACAGUGCAGCUCUGAGGAUACACAACCGCUGUUCAUUCCUGCAGUCCACAAGCCAGUUCCCGUUCACCGGAAUUUUUCUUUUGCCAUGGUUGUUUUAUUUUAGUCACCUUCCACAGUAAGAAACAGGAUCCCAUGGUUGCCUUUCUGCCUUUGUUAUCACUUCUGCCUGACUGUGCUAGAGUCUCAAAACAAGAUUUGCUCGAAGCCACAGGAGCAAGGAGUUCUUCAGCUUGUAAGGAAGGCACCAGGAAGUGUCUGAGGCCGGGCAGCAAGCAGGUGGUGUGAGGCCUGAGUGGUCAGCCAGCACCACACUCCCUGUGUGUCAGGGGAAGAUCCCAGUGAGGUUGGUAAAUGCCUCGAGUGUAGAAAUAGACUACAGUGUGGUGAUGUGGGGUCACCCUGCUGCCUCAGCUAUCAGAACCUUAAGGAUUCCCAGUGAAGAUGAAAGAAAGAAGAAAAAUAAAUAAAUACCAUUUGAUCCAAGUGCUGAAGAUUUUUACAGAUAUGCCACUUUAGGUCUCUGCUCAAGGAUGAACUAUUUCUA